rnacentral:rRNA from 1 species
GGGGAAUAUUGGACAAUGGGCGCAAGCCUGAUCCAGCAAUGCCGCGUGGGUGAUGAAGGCCUUCGGGUUGUAAAGCCCUUUUGGCGGGGACGAUGAUGACGGUACCCGCCGAAUAAGCUCCGGCUAACUUCGUGCCAGCAGCCGCGGUAAUACGAAGGGAGCUAGCGUCGUUCGGAAUUACUGGGCGUAAAGGGCGCGUAGGCGGUUUCGAUAGUCAGGCGUGAAAUCCCCAGGCUCAACCUGGGAAUUGCGCUUGAUACUGCGAGACUUGAGUGAGGGAGAGGAUAGUGGAAUUCCCAGUGUAGAGGUGAAAUUCGUAGAUAUUGGGAAGAACACCAGUGGCGAAGGCGGCUAUCUGGACCUCAACUGACGCUGAGGCGCGAAAGCGUGGGGAGCAAAC